UCCGUAUGCAUCGUUCUGAUGCAGAGGCCGGGGAGUCCCCCCUUUUCGAAAAAAAAACAGGAUUGAAUCCGUUGUCAGUAAAGAAAAUGUUGGCUCAGAUGUUAUGUGCACAACCUGUGUGAGAUGGUUGUUGUGUGGAUAGAGAAUCAGUUCCAUGAAAACAAAUAAAGGAGCGGAUAUUGCAAUAGGUUAACCAGCUGUGUGAGCGUUUACGGAGCGCGAACAGGGAGUCAACAGUCAGCUGCUGUCAUAUCUCAAAAAUGCGGGUUCGUUUUUCGUUGCUUACAGCGAGAGCGGUCGUGGUGGACAGGAACGACCACCACGGAUCCCUCGCCCCAAGUCAUGAUCCAGUUGUUGAAUGUUCACAAGAAAAUUUAUGUGGAUUGGAGAUUGACUGAUUGUUUGGUUGUCCGCAGAUUCAAAGAUGAAGUACAUAGUAAAGGUAGGGGCAAGGGGCAUCAGACGUGCUAAUUUUUCUGAACUCUACAAUGGAACCUGUGUUUCUGAAUUUCUGUCAAAGUGUCAACUCUGGAUCAUACAUAGUAGUGCUUUUUUGAUAGUAGGUGGUCUGAAUUUCUGUCAAUGGUCUGAAUUUCUCAAAGUGACUACUCUGGAUCGUACAUAGUAGUGCUCUUUUGAUAAUUGAUAGUAGGUGGCCGAAGUGUCAAACGCUGGAACAAGCACGAUCCAGAGUUUUGAGUUUUGAGUUUGCCCCACCUUAAGUUUUUUCCAUCCUCCACCACGACCGGACGCCCUCUCCAUCUAAAUCAUGCCUCUCUAAACGUACUGUCAUGUAUCAAGCUCCUACCUGACCGAUGGGACAUACGGUGGUCGUGCUCCAACCCAUUUAAUCUCAGGUCUGAUCUAUGUUCAGCUCCUUAUACAUAUAGUACUUGGUUAUACAAACAUGGAACUGAUGGAUAUGUUCGAUUAAUGGAUGCAUAAUUAGACACCUGAUGAUGAAGAGAUGGAAUUAAUGGAUGCGUACAUAUAUGAUUGGACCCUUGAUAAGCUUAGGUGGAUAUAUGGUUUACUGCAUUCUCAGUAGGUUGAUAAUUACUGUAUAUGAAAACAAAAUUGCUCAUUCUUGUUUUGUCGGAUAUUCGCACAAGGCCGCGCCGGCAAGAUAAUUAGUUACUUUUUUAUAAAACCCACAGGUAAUCUAUAUAUUUGCAGGUGAUUCAGAUGAGCGUCUCCCACAAGGUGUGAGUAUUCUAUUUUCUGAAGAACCAAGCAGGAGCUCUGCCGAAAUACUAUUAAAACAAGGGAAUGGAGUACAUACUAUGUAGAAUUAUAACAUGGACAUGCUCAGCAAUCCAAAUCUUAUUACAUAGAUUUUUUUUAAGUUUGUAAUAUAGCAGCUCCUAUAAGUAUCAAGUGUAGAUGGAAUUCCUACUGACUUACAU